GGCCCCGUCUGUGUGGAGUUUGCAUGUUCUCCCCGUGCCUGGGUGGGUUUUCUCCGUGCACUCCGGUUUCCUCCCACAUCCAAAAACAUGCAUGGUAGGUUGAUUAAAGACUAAAUUGCUCGUAGGUGUGAAUGUGAGUGGUUGUUUGUUUCUAUGUGCCCUGCGAUUGGCUGGCGACCGGUUCAGGUACCUCGCCUCCCGCCCGAAGAUCGCUGGGAUAGGCUCCAGCAUCCCGCAACCCGAGUGAGGAUAAGCGGUAAAGAAAAUGGAUGGAUAGUUCACAUUACAAUGUGACGUCUGUUGCCAGUAAUGAUUUGAAUUUUCCAUUUCGUCCAUCUUGCAGGAAUUUAACACCCGCAAGUUGAGGGUCUUUUAGGAUUGCGAAGAAGAAAGGCUAUGCAUCCAGCAGACGUUCGACUCUCCUUCCAGUACGCAGUGCAGACAAAAAAAGGUUCUGCUUCGAGCGGACGUAGUGACUGGUUUCAAGGAGAAGGACAACCACACAAGAUUCCAUUCAAUGCCAACAGAAGAAUAAAAUAAGAUGUGGAUAAAACUUUGCGAGAUUUGAUGCGCAAGGUAAUAAAAACCUGGACAAUAUCGCAAACGGUAGAGGAGAAUUUGGAGGAAAAAAGUACAAGUGUGGGAGGCCCAUUUGUUCAUGCAUUUUUGUCUAAUGUAAAUUCUGUA